rnacentral:rRNA from 1 species
AUGGGGGCUUGUGAGCUGGAUGCACAAUUGUCAGCAGUGACAAGCUUAGAUUGGGGAUGUGAAGAGGUGCAUAUGCAUGAUACAUUCCAAAUCACGGGCAGAUACCUUGAUUUGUUACAAGUAUUCCCCUUCAAUCUGAAUCACAUGAAGUGGAGAGUUCACCAGAGUCCGUGGAAGAAAUCUACAUGCCAUCAUGAGGAAAGAGGGAACAACCCGAUAUGCGACACCGAAGAGUGUAAAUUGCAGUUCUAUUUUCUUCUUCAAACAUGUCUUUUUUUGGGACCAAUUUAUGUUGUAUACUGA